rnacentral:rRNA from 3 species
GCGUAAUAGCUCACUGGUCGAGUCGGCCUGCGCGGAAGAUGUAACGGGGCUAAACCAUGCACCGAAGCUGCGGCAGCGACACUAUGUGUUGUUGGGUAGGGGAGCGUUCUGUAAGCCUGCGAAGGUGACCUGUGAGGGUUGCUGGAGGUAUCAGAAGUGCGAAUGCUGACAUAAGUAACGAUAAAGCGGGUGAAAAGCCCGCUCGCCGGAAGACCAAGGGUUCCUGUCCAACGUUAAUCGGGGCAGGGUGAGUCGACCCCUAAGGC